rnacentral:rRNA from 1 species
UACGUAGGAGGCAAGCGUUGUCCGGAAUUACUGGGCGUAAAGCGCGUGUAGGUGGUGGGACAAGUCUGCUGUGAAAGCGCCUGGCUUAACCGGGCGAGGUCGGCGGAAACUGUUCGACUCGAGGGCGGUAGAGGGGGGUGGAAUUCCCGGUGUAGUGGUGAAAUGCGUAGAGAUCGGGAGGAACACCUGUGGCGAAGGCGGCCCCCUGGGCCGGCCCUGACACUGAGACGCGAAGGCGUGGGGAGCGAACGGGG